GGGAACGAUGCGUUAGCAGUUCGUAGUUUGAAAUUAAUUCGACGGUGGCUGCUAGUUGAGUCUAUAAAAAUAUCCCGCUAAACCCAGGGGGGCGCUCAAUCAACAUCUUAAGUAUGGAGUGUUAGUAUACCGUGUGACCUAUAGAGAUUUGUCGCACCGCAAGAUCUCGCAACGCUGAAGGGGUUUUCGGACAACAAUCUUAUGCUGUUCGUGGCACACUUGAACUCGACGGGACCAAUGCACAGUUACGUUCCCGCUAUCACUCGAGUGCUGCUUUCGCACGAGAUUACAGGCCCUCCCGUACAGCCCGUCCUUCCCUGUUCGUUAGUAAUAGGUGGUACUAAAUAUUAUGCUAAAAAAAAAUCCUCGACUAGCCUGCAUCCUCUAUUUGCUCAGUGACGCUCGACAGUGACCUAAGGAGCUUAGUAACGGCUGCGGGUUAAACGCCUUUACAGAGCGGAAGGUUUUAUCAAAUCAGUGAAAUGCAUGGAAUCGUGUACUGUCUUCAGCUUGAAUUACAAUCGAUCGGUGUCGCAGCAAAAGAUCAGUCAAUAGAAAUCCAACGGAAGGUAAGCCAAGACCAAAUUCAAAGCUGAAUGGUAACGGUAAAAUAGUACAUUAACAUGAUUAAGCGCUUGUCAGGUCCACCCUUGGAGUCACACGCGCCAGCCAAUCGGUUCAUAGUGACCUAGACUAAAACGAAUGAACGCAUUUGCACCAUCGACGAACUACGACGCCGUCAUAGUCAACAAUGACUUUAUGCUGUGAAAUAAGAUAAAUUAAA